AUUGGCCAUGCAGCAUUUACAGUGAUAUGGCCUCAGCAGAAGUCAGGGCAUUUAUACUUCUUGCGCUUCCCGGAGCAGUGCAGAGCUGUUGCCAAGGAAGUGAGUUUGACAAGAUUGGUUGGCGGUAGAAAACACAAUGUGGAGCUAUACAGAGCCCUCUGCAUUGUUACAUUUUGUGGGAGGCACAUGACGAUGCGGCACAGAGCUCGAAUUGGCCUCUGCAUGCGUCUGAAGCCUCUGCAAUUGCGUUACAUCCUCCAUAUGCAGCUUCUGACCACAUUUUCAUGAAAGCAGAUCGAUCUUUUAGUCUAGGCCUCUGCAAUGGAUUAGUUCCUGAGAUGGGCGCAUAAAACAAUCUUGGUAGACCAACAGCCUAACAACCAAACAAUCGACCAGUUGACUAAAUUGGGGUCAGCCCUAGUUCAUAGUAAUGGUUAUCAACUGUACCGCAGGGAUGGAACGUAAAGUUGCAGAAAAUAGAAGUUGUGGCGGCAGCUGCAGAAAAGUAUUUGGGUGUACGAGACUUGGUGUCAAGAGUUACAGGGUGUGUUGACUAGUGGAGUCCAGUCCUCUCAGGCCGGUUUAAAUGGUGGAAUAGGGUGGUGUUUUUUUAAUUUUUAUGAGUGUAGCGUUAGAUUUGAUUUUGUAUUUUUUUUGUAUUUUUUUUUUUACUUUCCCCUUUUUCCAUGCAAAGUAUUAUGGGUUAAUACCCCAGUCUAGUUGGUGGCAGUAAGGCAACAUUUAUUGGAUGCCAACCGCCGCUAAACCUCAUCGAAGACGAAUAACUUUGCUAGCUAAAGUUAGUUAGCUAGUGUUCGACUUCGAUUGUGCCAUGAUGUUUGAAAACGUGUUUCAAUUUUGUUGACUAAUUAGGACCGUACAUGUCAUCCUUACAUGGGUUAUCACACUGAUACUAUUCUUACAGGACACUGGCAAAUUACUCUUUGAGGCGAAACAAUUUAAUUUGCCAUUUAGCUAGCUAGCUAACGUUAGCAUGCCAGGCAAGACCGACUGGGAGACUGUCACAUUAUGACAACAAUACAAGCUAGUGAUAGCUUGCAGGCUAGCCAACCUUAUAAUUUAGCCAAAGUGAAUACAAUAGCAAUUUUAACAACCUUCCACUUGUUGCCGUGCUGGAUUUCUGUGGUGUUUUGGUGAAUUUAUAUCUCGCCUGUUAAGAUAUGCAAAGACAAGAGGAGAGUGGAGAGUUUAUGCAGCAUGUGGUGUUUUCCUUGCUGGUCCUGCUGUCAGUGAUGCUGUAUUACACUCUCUCUGAUGCACCUGGGCUUUGUUCACUCUGUGUCAAGGUGAGCAAUAUCCUCAACCAACCACCCAAAAACCCUUCUUAUAAUAUGUAUUCCUUUCUGCUAUUACAUUAUCGUUGCCCUUGAAUGUGUUAGUGUGCUCAGGGCUCAAGUGAAGAAUUGGAGAUGAUACCUCAAAACCCCACUCCUUGUCUGUGCCGGUGUGGCUCCUUUUUACUAACAGCAGCCCAUGAGAGCUAAGUACUGCCAGACCUGUAAACACUGUAUAUGGGGGUUUGACCAUCACUGUCCAUGGAUAGAGAAUUGUGUGGGUGAGAGGAACUACCGCAGGUUCAUCAUCUAUCUGGCUGUGCAGCUGCUUGCUCUACUCUGGGCCCAUCAGAUUGCUUGGUCAGGUUUCCAUUCAGCCGCCACUUGGAAACUGUGGCUCAGUGUGAAUGGGUUUCUGCUGGCGGCGCUGUGUGUUGUACUUGGUGGUGGUCCUGCUCCUGGGCUGCCACCUCUAUCUGAUCUCCAUCAACUCCAACGCCUGGGAGUUCAUGUCCCAGUUCAUGUCCUGCUACCAGAUGUACUACAGAGUAUAGGUCGACCGAUUAUGAUUUUUCAAUGCCGAUACCGAUUAUUGGAGGACCAAAAAAAGCCGAUUGUCACGUUCCUGACCUUAUUUCCUUUAUUUUGUCU